rnacentral:rRNA from 1 species
UACGUAGGGUGCGAGCGUUGUCCGGAAUUAUUGGGCGUAAAGAGCUCGUAGGCGGUCUGUCGCGUCGAAUGUGAAAACCCGGGGCUCAACUCCGGGCUUGCAUUCGAUACGGGCAGGCUAGAGUUCGGUAGGGGGGUCUGGAAUUCCUGGUGUAGCGGUGAAAUGCGCAGAUAUCAGGAGGAACACCGGUGGCGAAGGCGGGACUCUGGGCCGAUACUGACGCUGAGGAGCGAAAGCGUGGGGAGCGAACAGG